GAUGAACGCUGGCGGCGUGCCUAACACAUGCAAGUCGAACGGAAAGGCCCUGCUUUUGUGGGGUGCUCGAGUGGCGAACGGGUGAGUGACACGUGAGUAACCUGCCCUUGACUUUGGGAUAACUUCAGGAAACUGGGGCUAAUACCGGAUAGGAGCUCCUGAUGCAUGGUGGGGGUUGGAAAGUUUCGGCGGUUGUGGAUGGAAUAGCGGCUUAUCAGCUUGUUGGUGGGGUAGUGGCUUACCAAGGCUUUGACGGGUAGCCCGCCUGAGAGGGUGACCGGCGACCUUGGGACUGAGGGACGGCCCAGACUCGUACGGUAGGCAACAGUGGGAUAUAUUGCACAAUGAGCGGAAGGCUGAUGCAGAAGCGCCGCGUGCGGGAAGACGGUCUUCUGGUUGUAAACCGAUUUCGCCUGUGACGAAGCGUGAGUGACGGUAAUGGGAUAAGAAGCACAGGCUAACUACGUG
rnacentral:rRNA from 1 species